AAUAAGGAUCGGCUAACUCCGUGCCAGCAGCCGCGGUAAGACGAAGGAUGCAAGCGUUAUCCGGAUUCAUUGGGUUUAAAGGGAGCGUAGGUGGAUUUGUAAGUCAGUGGUGAAAGCCGGCAGCUUAACUGUCGAACUGCCAUUGAUACUGCGGAUCUUGAGUAUGGUUGCUGUGGGCGGAAUAUGACAUGUAGAGGUGAAAUUCAUAGAGAUGUCAUAGAACACCGAUUGCGAAGGCAGCUCACAAAGCCAUUACUGACACUGAGGCUCGAAAGUGCGGGGAUCAAACAGGAUUAGAUACCCUGGUAGUCCGCACUGUAAACGAUGAUUACUCGCUGCUAGGAGGUAACUUUUAGUGGCUAAGCGAAAGCGAUAAGUAAUCCACCUGGGGAGUACGCCGGCAACGGUGAAACUCAAAGGAAUUGACGGGGGG
rnacentral:rRNA from 1 species